ensembl:lncRNA LINC02018 long intergenic non-protein coding RNA 2018
GGAUCCGGAGCUUCGGGCGGGGCCGAGUCUGGGUUUGGGGCCCGGGAGGCGGGGCCAGUUAGGGCGAGGGUCCCUGGGAUCGUCGGGUCAGGCCUUGGGCUAACGUAGACACUCUCGCAGUACCUCCGCCUUCAGGAAGGUCUUUUUAGCAGGGGCCUUACAGGUGCACGCUUCGGUCCUGGAGGCCUUAUCCUAACCUCUCCAUCAGCGCCACCCGUCUGGGGCCCGAAAGGAGGGAGCUUUCCCUCUGUCCUCCAGCCUUUGGACUGUCUCCAAACAAGCCAUUCGUUCACCAAAUACUUAUUAAGCACCUACCAUGUGCCUGACAAGGGAGAUGUAACGACAGAAUCAACGGUUUCUGUGUCUGAGAUGUUGCAUACACCCUCUCAGUCCCUCUAUCCUGAGAUGGAGUCACCUGAGGAUCCACAGCAAGUCCUAACCAGGGAUGGGUCUGGGUGAUUAAGGAAGGUUGGCUUCAGAACUGGGCCAGGGGCACUGCUUUGCUUUUGCUGUUUUGAUCAGCUCUCUGCCUGCAGGAGACAAGGAAAACCAAUGGGAACAGCCCAGUAAAGGCUCCAUUCCCCAUUUUACAGCUGGGGAAACUGAGUUACAGAGCUUUUCUGCACUGAGUCAUCAGGAGCAAAUGCUAGAUCAGAUAGGGUCUCUCUCUCUGCCACCCAGGCCAGAGUGCAGUUGACGCAGGGCAGGGGAGCCCCGAAGUGGAGCAUAGUGUGUCCGGAACUGGUGGGUUCUUGGUCUCACUGACUUCAAGAAUGAAGCCGUGGACCCUCACGGUUCAAGCGAUUCUCCUGCCUCAGCCUCCAGAGUAGCUGGAACUACAGAUGCGCACCACCACGCCCAGGCUGUGCUUCUCAGUGGCUCCCACCAGAUACCUGAUGGUCCUGUCGAUUUGCUGAAUCAUCAACUUCCUAUUCUCUGCCUCUGGCCUGAAUCGAUGUCCCACGUUAUCUGGCUCUCUGUAACACAGAGUCACAAAGUCAAAGUCUUCCUUGGUGAACCAGUUCAUGACAGUAUCGAUGUUCGCACUCCGCUCUGUCUCGUUGCUGUUUGGGUGCAGGAAUGAGAGGCAGCAGCCGGGGAAGCCAGGGUCUCCGGAAGUCCUUGUCUCUGGGCGGUGAUCCAGAGAGAGAGAGAGAACACGAUUGUCUCAGCAAUGGGUCUUCUUCUGAGUCUUGAAGGAGCACUUCCAGAGCCUCUCAGUGUUAAACAUCGUGUUGUGAAUGACUCCGUGAGCUCUGACCCAGUGACCUUGGGGAUAAAGGAGGGGAGGUACGGAUAAGCUCUUCGAAUGGAUGUUGCCGGGGUGUCAGUGUUCUUUGAGGGCACAGACUAUGUGUCACUAAAGAAAGAGCCCAGUGCCUUUUCUCAUUGCUCAAGAGAUUGAAGGGGUAGUAAGAAAAGAUGUUAAGUUAUAAACACGUUUCAGUUUUGGUACCAGUUGAACCAAUUUACGUUUUGAAGAGGAAAGAGUCUUGCCUACAAUGUCAGCCCCCGGGUUUUCCUUCUGCUUAUGGAAUCCAGGCAAUGGGCAAAGAGAAAAAGAAAACUAAGGAAUCAGCCAGGUGCAGUGGCUCAUGCUUGUGAUCUUGGCACUUUGGGAAGCUGAGGCAGGUGGACUUCUUGAGUGCAGCAGUUCAAGACCAGCCUGGCCAACAUAGUGAGACCCCGUUUCUACAAAAAAUACAAAAA